GACAGAGGCCUCGAGCGUUAGGCGGAAUCACUGGGCUUAAAGCGUGUGUAGGCGGGCCCGUAAGUGUCUUGUGAAAUCCCACGGCUCAACCGUGGAACUGCUGGGCAUACUGCGGGUCUUGGGCCAACUAGGGGCAGCCGGAACAAGCGGUGGAGCGGUGAAAUGCGUAGAUAUCGAGAGGAACACCUGCGGCGAAGGCGGGUUGCUGGGCUGAUACUGACGCUGAGGCGCGAAAGCCAGGGGAGCGAACGGG
rnacentral:rRNA from 1 species